GCUAAAUACAUCCUACAAACAUACUGUAGUAAGUGUAGCCUGCACACACACACUCACGCAGAGCGCAAGCCCCAGAGAGAAGACUGGACAGCACUGCUGAAGCUUCAAUAUUUUUUUUAUGAUUGUUUUUUUUUAUAAUACAAACUUUUCCCGUGCACUUAUUCCUGCAGUAAUUGUUAAGCGGCAUAAACAAAUGAUCUGCAACCAGUCGUUAGCAAGAAAAUCAGAACGGUGUUAUGCGCAGGUCUUCAGAAGCGAUCCUUCACAGAUUAAGAUACUGAAAACGUUUGAAGGACGGCGUUGACGGAUUACAUACUGCACAUAUUAUUUUGUGUUUCUUUGUGCUGCAAAAGUAAAAACAACAUUAAAAACAACAGCAAGAAUACUGUUUGAUAAUUAGACAACUAAGACAUCCAAAUGCAAAUGGAAGAGAGCCAAAAGAUACGUCAAAAUUAGCACAAAGGAAGACGAAGCAGGAGCAAGUGGAGACAAUUAUGCCGUCUGGAUCUCAGGUGGGUACUCAGUAAAGCUUGACGGAAAAUGCGAGAGAGGUCGUGGCUCUUCAAAUGGCUGGGAAUAGGGAUAGGCAUCUUUUCUUUCGUCACCAACAGCAUGUCGCAAGAUAGCACAGAAGAUUGGCAAUAUGAGGAGUGCAAAUUGGCCAGGUCAGGCCCUCCAGCUACAAUAGUUGCCAUUGAUGAAGAAAGUCAAAAUGGUACUCUCCUGGUGGAGAAUAUGCAGAUAAAGGGAAGAGUACAAGGCCCCAAUAAGACAAUUUCAUUAUCUCUGAGGGACAACUAUGAUCAGUGGGUGAUCCUGGAUCCUGUACAACAAAGGCUUUAUCUCAACAGCACUGGUCGAGUUCUGGAUAGAGAUCCUCCCUCAUCUAUCCACUCCAUUGUGGUGCAGGUCCAAUGUACCAAUGAGCUGGUAGGCACUGUCAUUUUCCACGAAGUGCGGAUUGUGGUGAGAGAUCGAAAUGACAAUCCCCCUACCUUCCAGCAACCACGCUACUAUGUAGCAAUUAAUGAGUUGACACCAGUUGGAACCACCAUCUUCACAGGAUUUUCUGGAAAUAAUGGUGCGGCUGACAUAGAUGAUGGACCCAAUGGCCAAAUUGAAUAUAUAAUUCAGUAUAACCCGAAUGAUCCAACAUCUAACGCGACUUUUCACAUUCUACUCACUUUGUCAGGAACGGUAAUUCUCCAAGAGAGACUAAAUUAUGAAGAAAAAACACGCUACUUUGUAAUUGUUCAAGCCAACGACCGUGCUCCGAAUCCAAAUGACAGAAGGACUAGCACUACAACGCUGACAGUUGAUGUGCUGGAUGGGGACGAUCUGGGGCCUAUGUUCCUGCCAUGCAGACUUGUGAACAACACAAGGGACUGUCAUCCUCUGGUUUACAGAGCCAGUAUCCUGGAGCUCACUGACCCAACCAGAAUAAACCCAGUUAAUGUCACUCCGACUAUUCAAGCUGUUGAUCAAGACAGAAACAUCCAGCCACCCUCUGAUCGACCAGGCAUUCUUUACUCCAUCCUUGUCGGAACCCCUGAGAAUUACAUAAACUAUUUCAGUUUAAAUCAGACAACCGCAGAACUUCGCCUCCUCAAGCCAGUCAGCAGGGAUUUAUACCAGAAAUUUGAUUUGGUUAUUAAGGCAGAACAAGACAAUGGACAUCCACUCCCAGCAUUUGCUAAUUUACAUGUAGAGGUCCUCGAUGAAAAUAAUCAAGCCCCAUACUUUGAAUUUUCGACUUAUCAAGGGUAUAUCAUUGAGUCAGCCCCGGUGGGCACAACAAUCUCAAACAGUGGGAAUCUUACAGCACCGCUUAACAUAAUCGCUUUGGAUAACGACAUAGAAGAGACAAAAGACCCCAUGGUUCGAAUUUCCUUAAAUGACUACAACACAGUUUUUACCGUGACUCAGUCUGGAAUAGUCCGCUACUUGACAUUGCUGCAGCCAGUGGAUCGAGAACGUCAGCAGACCUACACUUUAACUAUGAUAGCCUCUGAUGGAGUCCAGGAAAGUACUCCAGUCGCAGUUAAUAUCCUGGUGAUCGAUGCCAACGAUAAAACUCCAACCUUCUCCAACAUCUCCUACAGUGUAAAUGUUUACACAGACAUGCAACCGGGAGAGGCUGUCUUACGGCUCACAGCUUUGGAUGCUGAUGAAGGUUUGAAUGGGCAAAUCACCUAUGAAAUUCUUGCUGGAGCUCAGGGAGAUUUCAUCAUUAAUAACAGGACCGGCCUGAUCACUGUGGCUCCUGGUGUCAAUUUGAUCAUCGGGCGCUCUUAUGCCCUUACUGUCAAAGCAUCAGACAACGCACCUAUUUCUCAGAGGAGGAGCUCCAUAACUACUGUCUAUGUUGAGGUGCUACCACCAAACAAUCAGAGCCCCCCGAGAUUCCCACAGUUCAUGUACAGCCUUGAAGUCAGUGAAGCCAUGAGAACUGGAGCCAUUUUACUGAACUUGCAGGCCACGGACCGUGAAGGUGAUCCUAUAACUUAUCGUAUCCAAAAUGGUGAUCCUCAACGCGUGUUUAACCUCACAAAAAAUGCUGGACUAGUCCUAGGAAAGCCCUUGGACAGAGAGAGUACAGAUCGAUACAUUCUGAUUGUCACAGCGUCAGAUGGCAGACCUGACGGGACCUCUACCACUACUGUGAAUAUCGUUGUCACUGAUGUCAAUGAUAACGAUCCCGUUUUUGAUCCAUUUCUGCCCAAAAACUUCACGGUCCAGGAAGAGGAGGUGAAUGCAUUUGUAGGACAAGUAAAGGCAACUGAUCCAGAUGCGGGUGUGAAUGGGCAGGUCUGGUACAGUUUGGUGAACUUCAAUGGCGUUUUUAGAAUCAAUUCAAACGGCAGCAUUUACACAGCUGUGGCACUGGACCGAGAAACAAAAAGUCAAUAUGAUCUGAUUGUGGAGGCCUCUGAUGGAGCAGUAGACCCUCGCCGGUCCACAAUUACAGUAUCGGUUAGAGUGCUGGAUAUUGAUGACAACAGCCCGGUGUUCUCGCAGGCCUCAUACACAGUCAAUUUACCAGAAAACAGUCCUGUGGGAACAAUCAUUCUAAACUUGAAGGCAAAGGAUGCUGACCUUGAAUCCAAUGUCACUUACCACAUAAGAACACAAGAGGCAAGACAGCUGUUUUCAGUGAACUCUGUGACAGGAGAUUUGUCAGUGUUACAAACUUUAGACUUUGAAACCCUUUCUGCAGCAGGGGCAACUUACACCUUUAUAGUGGAGGCCUUGGACAGCAGUGGCAGCAUGCCACCAGGCCUUGCUACUGUGACAGUGAAAAUAAUGGAUAUGAAUGAUUAUUCCCCUGUAUUUAGGCAAGCUCUCUAUAGGGGAAUGGUGGCACCAAAUGCAGUCAAGGGCACUGUCAUCACAACUGUAUCAGCAGAAGAUCUAGAUCCUCCGGGCACGGCAGCCAGCAGGAUCAGAUACAGAUUGGAUCUGGACAAGUUUCCCUACAGUGGCAGUAUCUUUGAUGUGGAGGUAGAUACUGGAAGAGUAAUAACACGGGUCAACCUCAAUGAAGAACCCAAUACGACAUUUAAGCUGGUGGUUAUUGCCAGUGAUGAUGGGGAGCCUGUGAAGUUCAACAGUACUCUGGUUGAAAUAACAGUUCUGCAGCCUUCAGUGAUUCCAAUCUUCACACAAGAGGAAUAUAGGCCUCCUCCAGUUAGUGAAAAUGCUCCCAUAGGAACGAGGGUGGGUGUUAUACUUGCAGCCGCAAUCAAUCAAACCAUUCUGUAUUCCAUUGUUGCUGGAAAUGAAGACGAUAAAUUUGUCCUUGAUAAUAGCACAGGAGUCAUCUCUACUAAGAAGCUUUUAGACUACGAGACCGCUGUGAGCUACGUACUUCGAGUCCAAGCAGACUCCAUGCAUGUAGUAAGAUCCAACCUACGAGUUCCUUCAAAAACAAACACAGCAAAGGUGUUCAUCGAGGUUCAAGAUGAGAAUGACCACCCUCCUGUAUUUACGAAAACACUUUACCUGGGCGGUGUGGCAGAAGAUGCCAAAACAUUUACUUCAGUAUUGACAGUAAAGGCCUUGGACAAGGACACUGGGAAUUACAGUGCAAUGCAGUACCGGUUGAUUAUACCACCUUCAAACAAUGGAAAAGACGGGUUUGUGAUUGAGGCAUACACAGGAAUCAUCAAAUCUGCAAUCAUAUUCCGAAACCUCAGGAGGUCCUAUUUUAAGUUUGAAGUGAUUGCGACCGAUGACUAUGGAGCGGGACUGAGCAGUAGUGCCCAAGUUGUUAUCUCUGUGGUCAAUCAACUGGAUAUGCAAGUGGUUGUUUCCAAUGUUCCUCCUACUCUUGUGGAACAGAACAAAGAGCAGCUUAUCGGGAUUUUGGAGCGUUAUGUACAGGAUCAGGUUCCAGGGGCUAAAGUUGUUGUGGAGUCCAUCGGAGCACGGAGAUUCGGUGAUGGAUUUUCAGAAGAGGAUUAUUCCAAAUCAGAUCUGAUGGUCUAUGCAAUCGACCCUUUAACCAACCGGGCCAUAUCAAGACAAGAACUUUUUAAAUUCCUCGAUGGGAAGCUGCUGGAUAUCAAUAAAGAAUUCCAGCCCUACCUCGGCCAGGGAGGUCGUAUUCUGGAAAUCCGAACCCCCGACAUUGUGGCGAGUGUUAAGAAGGCAGCUCAGGCCGUAGGUUACACAGAGGGUGCUUUACUGGCCCUGGCAGUGAUCAUCAUUCUGUGCUGCAUCCCUGCUAUUUUUAUAGUCAUGGUCACCUACAAACAACGACAGGCAGAGUGUGCAAAGACAGCAAGAAUCCAAAUGGCAUUGCCAGCAGGCAAACCGGCCGGGGGUGCUGCCAAUAAUCUGUAUGAAGAACUUGGUGACAAUACCAUACUUUUUCUUCUCUACCAUUUUCAACAAAGCAGGGGAAAAAAAUCUGUUUUAGAAGAGGGAGAUCGGCAAAGACUCAUAAGCACGUGUGCAACACGUGCCAUUUCAGCUCACAAGAAAUCCAGUGUCAAUGGAUCAUUGUACAACAAACUCCCAAAGUCUGCUAGUAACAUUACAUUCUUGUCAGAUGAAAACCCAUUGACUACCAAUAACCCUUUGUAUGACGAAAGCAUUCUCAACAGCCCAGAGAGUGGUGGCCUCUCCCGAAAAAGAAAAGCCUUAUUUGGCAGACCUUCUUCCCAGAGACUGGGCUUGAAAGAUUCCCUUCUAAAGUUUCCUUCUGGAGGUCCUUCCCAUGCAUGGACAUUGCCAUCACGCAUGCACAGGUCAAUGUAUGAUGCUUUAAGUAGACAAGUUGUUAUGGAUCCAGUUCAGUGGGAGCUGGAGCUGCUUAGAGCAGAGCUAAGAGAAAGUAAAGAUCAGUGGAGCCAGGUUUGUAGCCCAAGAUGUAAAAAUGCUGAAACAAAGUUAACAGUUAAAGAACAGGCGAGGCAGUUUGAGCAACAGGCCUUGCAGGAAAUUAAGCAACUUCAAGCUUGCAAUUUGAAAGGACAGCAGUCCCCUUUGCCAUCGAAAUGCAGCCAUACUGAAAUGCAGGGAAGCAUGCUAGAUUUAGCUCCCGAUCACUUGCUUUCUUUACCAGGUCUCCAUUCCCGUCCUACUUUAUCUAUGUCUCCUGUUCCACAAUUGGACUUUCCUGCUCCUUCUAUUGUCAUUACUCUUUCUGAUGGCUCGCCACCCCCAGCUCGCAAACCAACUCCCCCUAUAUCCCAGAAGUCCAGCUUUGCAAACUCCACUUAUCGCGCAUUGGGACCAAAGAAGGUAGAAGCCGAGAUCAUUCCAGAACCUCCUAAUGUCCCCCCACCUCCCCCUCCACCUCCUUAUUUCUCUCCACCAUUUCCCCAUUCUCUGCCUCCUCCACCUCCUCCCCCACCACUCCCACCAUCUUUAUUAACUUCUUCUACUCUGCCUGUCUCUCCAUUGUUCUUGCCACCUUUUCCCUCUGUGUCCUCUCUACGGCCAGUGUCCUUAUCUCAGAAGGGACGCGCACCCUCUCCCCCUCAGGCAACCCAACCUUCAGUCCCCAGAAAGGAACUGAAGGGGAUUCUCAAAAGCAUCCAGAACUUAGCAGAAAUAGAAAAAUCUGUUGCCAAUAUGUACAGUCAAAUAGACCACAAGGUACCGAAGAAUGUCCCCAGGCCAAAAGUAACUAUCGAGCCUGAGGCACAAAAGACUGAAACUUCUGAGGAUCAAAGCCAGUCAAAUGGCAGCUUGAACUGUAUCAUUGAGGAGCUUGAAAAACGCUUUCCAUCUCAGUCAACUAUCUUAUAGUUCUGUCCUGUUCUCUUUCUUCUCAGCUUCAUUUGUGUCAUCUCUUCUUUUGCUUUUCAUGUUUGCCAUUGGUUGUAAAUAUUGUUUGCAUCUCUCUAAUUUAACUAAUCAAUUACAUUAACUGUUUUAUAUAUUAGAUAUAUCAUGUAUCAUUUUAUGUCCUGUUCAAACUGUUUUAUAUAUUAGAUGUAUCAUGUAUCAUGUAUCAUUUUAUGUCCAGGCUUAAGAUAUAGCUGUCUAGAAAUGCUUCAGAAAGUAUGGGCAGAGGACCACAUAUAGAAUAAAAAAUAUAUAGAUUUGGGUUGUUUUUGUAAAGAUUGAUAAAUUGUGUUGAAAUUAGUGCAAUAAUAGUCAAUUAACGACAUAUCAUUUAAUUAACGUCUCAAAUGUAUCAUUAUAGCUAGGGUCAAACUGAUAUUCAUAUCCCACAACAAUAUAUUCAAAUGUUAUAAUAGUGUUGCAUGGCAUUACAAUCUGGUACUAUGUCACUGUGAUUAAUUUGUGAGGGUAAUAUAAAGUUUUACUAACUGGUGCAUGUGUUUCUGCUUCUUUUCAUUGUAAUUUUCUGUGCCUUUACUGUUCAGUUGUCUGUACUGUAUUUACAGUUUCUAUCUGUUGUAGCUGGAGUCAAUUAUUCACCUGUGCAUCACUGAUAAGCUCAACACAUUCACUUAACUCUAUUUACAUGAAACAGACUUGCAGUAUAUAACACAUUUGAUUGUCUCUACUAAAAGGAUUAAUUGUCAUCAUUUUUAUAACCAUUUGGGGGGUGGAUGCAUCCAAAACAUACAGCUACACUUCAUGUCGUGUGUCAUUUCCCUGUUCUGUGGUGCUCCUCAAUCAAACUUCCAGACGCAGAAGGAACACACCACUGAAUUUUUCAUUUUUAUGGAUGAAGGUGACAUUUAAAAUUACACACUAUUCCCUAGCUUUGCUUUCCUAGUGCUCCUCUCCUAUUUAUUUCUGAUCUGUCUUAAAAUAUUUUUACAUGACAGUAAAAAAAAAAAAAAAAAAGUUGGUAUUUAGUCCUGCAUGCUGCUGUGCUACCCUUGAUUAGUUGACUAAUCAGUCAUGAAGCUGGUUGGCAGCAACUGUUUCCCAGGAAGUUCAAAUGUAAUCACACCAAGUGUAACUGUUGCUAAUUAAUAGUGUAUGCUGAGUAGUUAUGUGUAAUCACUGGCUUGCAUCAAAGGGUGUACAGCUUCAUUGCCUUUUUUUAUUAAGCAACACACAUUCGUUUCGAUAUUGACUUUCCUUCCCUUGAUUCAUGUAUACAUAUUUCUGACAAAAAAAACAGACACCCCCAAGGCCAUGUAUACAGUAUUUUCAUGAAUGGACUAGUCUAGUGUGUUUUUAAUUAUGUGUACAUAUAUAUUGAAUUUUGACGAAUGUACCAUAGGGCAUAUCUAGCAUAGAAAUGUAUAAUCUGCAUUAUUACAGGACUUGUAAGGCCAUGAAAAUGGAAAAGUCAGCUAGCAAUUGUCUUUUAGACAACUGAUUCUUUCUGAAGAGAAGUUUCCUGAAGUAUACAAUGGUGAAAUCAUAACAAAAUGUAAUGAAGCAUAGUCAAAGCUUGUUGCAUAAGGUAGGCGUGGCAAAGUACAAACAAACUGUAAAGCAUGGUAAAGAAUAAAAUAAACAAUAUGGUAAAGCACAGUCUAUGAAUAGUAUGAACAAAGCAUGGUUAACUGUCUAAUUGCCAUGCAGAUUUAACUUCUCUAAGGUUAAUACAGAUUUUUAACUUUUGCAGUUGAAGUGUUAGUGAAGUGCAGUUGAGUUAUAAAAUGCAUCACUUGCUAUCUGUGGAAUAGAAGUUACAUGAUGGCAGCCCAGCAGGACCUAUUUGUCUUUCAGUUUCGAUCUCAUUUAAUAGAUUAUUUAUCAUGCUUCCUGUCCAUUAGUGUAAUGCUUAGAACUUUACAGUCACAUAGUUUUGCCUUACAAACCGAUUAAGUAUGUAAGGUCAUCAAAAAAAAAAAAAAAAAAAAAAAGACAUUCAAAAGGUCUUAUGAAAGUCACAAAUUAUUGUUUAGUGAUCAAUCUUUGUUUGAAUUACUGAUUACUUUCACAUCAAAGGACAAUUGCAGUAAUUUGCCUCUGAUAAUCAACAACGUGUGUUGAAUUGGAAUUCAAAGACAUUACGCAUUGUGACAUUAAAAAUUAAUUUUUCUCUCCAAUGUAAUUAAAUGCUUUCCCUAGUCUGCUUUCUUUGAACUUGCUUGGUCUUGUCAUAAUAUUCAACAGCCUUCACUUUCUCCUUGCAACAUUGUCAUGUACAGUGAGCAUCAGUCAUGAAAUGAAAAUUAACUGUGUUUACAUACACUGGGUACUUUAGAAAGUAGAGUUUGUUAAACUGUGGUGUGUAUUUCUCACCACCCCUCAUUAAAAGUGUUGAAAUACCCCUUCAUUUAAAUUCAAUAACCCAAUCUAAAUAAUGUUUAAUAUAAGUACAACAAAGUUAUUUAAGAGUUAAAGGAAAUCGUGUAGCAGGUGACAUGAAGUGUGAUUAUAAAUAACAACACAGUGGAAAAUAGGGCCCUGUAUUAUCAUUUAACAUUGACACUUCUGAAAACUGAGCUUUGUUGAGCAUAUUGUUUUUUAAAUAUGGGAUUUACUUUAUGGAUGCAAUGAACAUGAAUACACAAUGGCUUUGUGACCUGUGUCAUUCCACUGUUCUAUGGUUCUAUUAAAAUUCCAUCUAGAAGUGGACAAGAACAGAAAAUAUGUUACUCCCUGAUGUGCUUAAGUGCAUAGGUUACAAUUACAAUGUGAAAUAUUGAUCACUGAUACCAAAAGAUCUAAUUUUCAAUGAGGUCCCUGAGGAAGAGGCCAAACAAUACUUGCUCAUUAGACCUGCAUGUGGUCGGAAACUCACAAUUACAAGGUAAUGUAUGUGCAGCGAAAAACUGUUUACUUCUGUAUCACUAAAUUAAGUCUGCUUUUUAUUAGGUUUGCUGAUAUAUUGAUUGAUUGAUUUUUCGUUUUGUUUUUCUAAAGGCGAGGAUAUGGGCAACAAGAGCAACUGCAAUUGCUAAGACCAUCUCUUCUGAGACCAGAGGUAC